rnacentral:rRNA from 1 species
UGGGGAAUAUUGGACAAUGGGCGAAAGCCUGAUCCAGCCAUGCCGCGUGUGUGAAGAAGGUCUUCGGAUUGUAAAGCACUUUAAGUUGGGAGGAAGGGCAUUAACCUAAUACGUUAGUGUUUUGACGUUACCGACAGAAUAAGCACCGGCUAACUCUGUGCCAGCAGCCGCGGUAAUACAGAGGGUGCAAGCGUUAAUCGGAAUUACUGGGCGUAAAGCGCGCGUAGGUGGUUUGUUAAGUUGGAUGUGAAAGCCCCGGGCUCAACCUGGGAACUGCAUCCAAAACUGGCAAGCUAGAGUACGGUAGAGGGUGGUGGAAUUUCCUGUGUAGCGGUGAAAUGCGUAGAUAUAGGAAGGAACACCAGAGGUGAAGGCGACCACCUGGACUGAUACUGACACUGAGGUGCGAAAGCGUGGGGAGCAAACA